UGGGGAAUCUUGGACAAUGGGCGCAAGCCUGAUCCAGCCAUGCCGCGUGAGUGAAGAAGGCCUUAGGGUUGUAAAGCUCUUUUGGCAGGGACGAUAAUGACGGUACCUGCAGAAUAAGCCCCGGCAAACUUCGUGCCAGCAGCCGCGGUAAUACGAAGGGGGCUAGCGUUGUUCGGAUUUACUGGGCGUAAAGCGCACUUAGGCGGAUUGUUAAGUCAGGGGUGAAAUCCCGGAGCUCAACUCCGGAACUGCCUUUGAUACUGGCAAUCUUGAGGCUGGAAGAGGUUGGUAGAAUUCCCAGUGUAGAGGUGAAAUUCGUAGAUAUUGGGAAGAAUACCAGUGGCGAAGGCGGCCAACUGGUCCAGAUCUGACGCUGAGGUGCGAAAGCGUGGGGAGCAAAC
rnacentral:rRNA from 1 species